rnacentral:rRNA from 1 species
AUCAACUUUCGAUGGUAGGAUAGAGGCCUACCAUGGUGGUAACGGGUAACGGGGUGUUAGGGCACGACACCGGAGAGGGAGCCUGAGGAACGGCUACCACAUCCAAGGAUGGCAGCAGGCGCGCAAAUUACCCAAUCCCGACACGGGGAGGUAGUGACAAUAAAUAACGAUACGGGGUUCUUUAGGAUCUCGUAAUUGGAAUGAGUACAAUUUAAAUCUCUUAACGAGGAACAAUUGGAGGGCAAGUCUGGUGCCAGCAGCCGCGGUAAUUCCAGCUCCAAUAGCGUAUAUUAAAGUUGUUGCAGUUAAAAAGCUCGUAGUUGAAUUUCGGGGUCAGUAGGUCGGUCGUGCCACUGGUAUGAACUGGUUUUACUGAUUCCUCCCUCUUGAAGAACUGUAAUGCCAUUAAUUUGGUGUUGCAGGGAAUCAGGACUGUUACUUUGAAAAAAUUAGAGUGUUUAAAGCAGGCUUUAGCUUGAAUACAUUAGCAUGGAAUAAUGAAAUAGGACGUUUGAUCCUAUUUUGUUGGUUUCUAGGAUUGACGUAAUGAUUAAUAGGGAUAGUUGGGGGCAUUAGUAUUCAAUUGUCAGAGGUGAAAUUCUUGGAUUUAUUGAAGACUAACUACUGCGAAAGCAUUUGCCAAGGAUGUUUUCAUUAAUCAAGAACGAAAGUUAGGGGAUCGAAGACGAUCAGAUACCGUCGUAGUCUUAACCAUAAACUAUGCCGACUAGGGAUCGGAUGAUGUUAAUUUUUUAAUGACUCAUUCGGCGCCUUACGGGAAACCAAAGUGUUUGGGUUC